GACCUGGCUCAGGACGAACGCUGGCGGCGUGCUUAACACAUGCAAGUCGAACGAGAAUCUGUGGAACGAGGAUUCGUCCAAGUGAAGCAGAGGACAGUGGCGGACGGGUGAGUAACGCGUGAGGAACCUGCCUUUCAGAGGGGGACAACAGUUGGAAACGACUGCUAAUACCGCAUAACACAUGGGUGUCGCAUGGCACUGAUGUCAAAGAUUUAUCG
rnacentral:rRNA from 1 species